UACGGAGGGUGCGAGCGUUGUUCGGAAUCACUGGGCGUAAAGGGCGUGUAGGCGGUCCGCUAAGUCUGAUGUGAAAGCCCGGGGCUCACCCCCGGAAGUGCAUUGGAAACUGGCGGACUCGAGUCCCGGAGAGGAGAGUGGAAUUCCUGGUGUAGCGGUGAAAUGCGUAGAUAUCAGGAGGAACACCGGUGGCGAAGGCGGGUCUCUGGGCAACAACUGACGCUGAGGAGCGAAAGCGUGGGGAGCGAACAGG
rnacentral:rRNA from 1 species